rnacentral:lncRNA from 12 species
GUUCGGGGAAGCCAAGUUAGAAAUGGUAACAAGGUAAUCUUACUGCAAACCAAACAACCAUCUUUCUUGUCUUAGGUCAGCCCUGAAACCUGAUCCUCUUUCAUUCUAGUGGAAGGAUCCACGUGAAUUUAAGGGAAAAGAACCAAGACCCUUUUGCACAUAAUAAAGAAAGGAUUUUUUCCGUGUUCUUACAUGAGGUGAUCACAUGCAGGUUCACAGGAGAAAAGAAAGACACUCGAGUAGUUCAAGUGGCUAAGACAGCAACAAAAAUAACAGCUCAAGCCAGGUGGUUUCUGAGCCCCUGGUGCACCCUUUCAGGGCUCUCAUGUUCUGCAGAGGUGCUGUCUGCUCUGCACACCUGUCUCCUCUGCCUAGUGUGAGCUCUGACACGGCUGGAAAGAGGUCACCAUGAAGAUGUUGCUGGAAGAGGAACAACAGGUGUUGGAAACCAACAGGGUUUACAAACUGAACUGUGCCUGCAUAUAGGCCAUAUAUGUCUGAGGCUCAACCAAAGAAAAAGACACCAUUUAGCACACCUGGGCUCGCCACAGGAACUUCAAAAACACCAAGACAGAAUGAACCAGAAGGAAGCAUUUUCUCUGGGCCGCUUGGGAGAUUUUAGGGUAAAGCAACAAAGAUAACUUGGGUAAAGUAAUAAAC